ensembl:lncRNA PWRN1 Prader-Willi region non-protein coding RNA 1
CUAUGUUGCCCAAGCUGGUCCUGAACCCCUAGCCUCAAGUAAUCCUCCUGCCUCAACCUACCAAAGCAUUGGUAUUACAAGUUUGACCCACCGUGAUCAGUCCAGGGUAGGAAAUGGAAUCUUAACAACUAUCACAUGAACUUUGAGGGGAUCCUUCUCUGGAUGAGCCUUCAGUUGAGACCUCAGCCUUGGACAUCAUCUACAUCUGGAUUCCUGACCCAGAGCAACUGAAUUUUAUGGAACCUUGUAUUCUGUUGAGUAACAGAAUUAUAUCAGCAAUCCCAAAGUCACCAAAUGGGCAUCAUCAUGACAGCAGGCUCCAUCAGGAACUGUUCAGGACCAUGCACUCUGUUGAUACUCACAUGGUGGAAUUAUAUUGCCCUUGGCCAACCCUAAAGCCAUCAAGAUAGCAGGGUCUCACUCUGUUGCUCAGGCCGGAGUGCAGUGGCAUGAACAAAGCUCGCUGCAGCCUCGAACUCCUGGGCUUGAAUGAUCCUCCACCUCAUCCUCUUGAGUAGAUGGGACUACAGGCAUGUGCCACCACAUCUGGGUUUCGAAUAAUUCAUCAGUGAAGUCUUCUCAACCAGGUCAAUCACGAGAACUUAGAAGAUGAUUCCUCCCCAGCUGAUCCUCAGGUGAGACCUCAGCCUUGGCCAUCAUCUACAUCUGGAUUCCUGACUCAGAGAAACUUAACCAGAAAUAAAGUUGAUCCAAGUAACAAGUGGACAGCAUAAAAGAUUGUAUGGAAACUAUAAUGCAUCUACAUCUGCAGUAACUAAUCAUAAAAUGAUUUGUAUGAUCAUUCUUCACAUGAUUAUGAUGACUAUGGGAAAGAAGAAAAAGAAA